rnacentral:rRNA from 1 species
UAGCGAGCCCAACCUCCCACCCGUGUUUACUGUACCUUAGUUGCUUCGGCGGGCCCGCCAUUCAUGGCCGCCGGGGGCUCUCAGCCCCGGGCCCGCGCCCGCCGGAGACACCACGAACUCUGUCUGAUCUAGUGAAGUCUGAGUUGAUUGUAUCGCAAUCAGUUAAAACUUUCAACAAUGGAUCUCUUGGUUCCGGCAUCGAUGAAGAACGCAGCGAAAUGCGAUAACUAGUGUGAAUUGCAGAAUUCCGUGAAUCAUCGAGUCUUUGAACGCACAUUGCGCCCCCUGGUAUUCCGGGGGGCAUGCCUGUCCGAGCGUCAUUGCUGCCCAUCAAGCACGGCUUGUGUGUUGGGUCGUCGUCCCCUCUCCGGGGGGGACGGGCCCCAAAGGCAGCGGCGGCACCGCGUCCGAUCCUCGAGCGUAUGGGGCUUUGUCACCCGCUCUGUAGGCCCGGCCGGCGCUUGCCGAACGCAAAUCAAUCUUUUCCAGGUUGACCUCGGAUCAGGUAGGGAUACCCGCUGAACUUAAGCAUAUCAAUAAGCGGAGGAGGA